GACGAACGCUGGCGGCGUGCUUAACACAUGCAAGUCGAACGGAAAGGCCCCUUUGGGGGUACUCGAGUGGCGAACGGGGGAGUAACACGUGAGUAACCUGCCCUUGACUUCGGGGUAACUUCAGGAAACUGGGGCUAAUACCGGCUAGGAAUCCUUGCUUCAUGGUGGGGGUUGGAAAGCUUCGGCGGUUUUGGAUGGACUCGCGGCUUAUCAGCUUGUUGGUGGGGUAGUGGCUUACCAAGGCUUUGACGGGUAGCCGGCCUGAGAGGGCGACCGGCCACACUGGGACUGAGAUGCGGCCCAGACUCCUACGGGAGGCAGCAGUGGGGAAUAUUGCACAAUGGGCGGAAGCCUGAUGCAGCAACGCCGCGUGCUGGAUGACGGCCUUCGGGUUGUAAACCGCUUUCAGCAGGGGCGAAGCUUGUGGUGACGGUACCUGCAGAAGAAGCACCGGCUAACUACGUG
rnacentral:rRNA from 1 species